ACUUCUACUGCCGCCACACCACACUUUCCGGCCUCUCUGUGUUGUUGUGCUUCGUCUCUACCCCUACGAACUACUCAGAGCAAAUUCUCUGCCGUCUACAAAGGAGUUCUCAGAGAUGGUUCUCCUGUGGCCAUCAGAAGUAUUAAUGUGACAUGCUGCAUACCUGAGGAAGUUGAAUUCUUGAAGGGAUUGAGCCUGCUAACCUCACUGAGACAUAAAAACAUUGUAAAGAUGAGAGGUUUUUGUUGCUCAAGUAGUAGAGGUGAAUGUUACCUUGUCUACGAUUUUGUAACCAGUGGCACUCUAUAUAUCUUGAUAUGGAAGAUGGAAGUGAAAAUGUGUCUGAGUCGUCUAAGAGGGUUUCCAUCAGCAAGGGCAAUGCAAAAGGUUAGUUCUUUUUUCGACACCCAAUAUUUUCUAAGAAACUCAUUGUAGAUCAGAAAAUUUGCCUCUUUCUUACAACAAGGUUUUGGAUAUCUUCACAGUAAUGAAGCAAGCAAACCUACAAUAGUUCACCAAAAUAUUUUAGUCGAAAAAGUUCUUUUUGACAAUCAGUUUAACCCAUUGAUCUGGAUGCUGGGAUCCCCAAGUUUCUAGCAGACGGCAUUGUUUACUCGGCACUGAAAGUUGGUGCUGCCAUGGGAUACCUAGCUCCUGAAUACAUUACCGCUGGACGCAUCACCGAGAAGAGCGACGUUUCUACAUUCGGUGUCAUUGUUCUUCAAGUCCUAUCUGAGAAGACAAUAGUAGGGGGUUCAAUCAGAAUGGCAGUUGAGUUUUUCAGAUUUGAUGAUUUUGUGGACACAAAUCUAAAGUGAAAAUAUUUGAAACCAGAAGCAGCAAUUCUUUCAAAGAUUGCAGUGAUGUACACUCAUGAGCUUUCUGAGCAAAGGCCAAACAUGGUAGAGGUGAUUCAGGAACUAAGCAUGUAUUCUUCUCAUUCUUCAUGAUCUAGAACUUUCAGUGGGUUUCAUAAGUUCCUAACACAUUUGAUUCAUUCAUGACCAUGGUUUUCUUUAGCAUAUUCACUAAAUUAUCCAUUGCUAAAUUGUUGUGAACUUCAAUGGAA